GACGAACGCUGGCGGCGUGCUUAACACAUGCAAGUCGAACGGAAAGGCCCUGCUUUUGUGGGGUGCUCGAGUGGCGAACGGGUGAGUAACACGUGAGUAACCUGCCCUUGACUUUGGGAUAACUUCAGGAAACUGGGGCUAAUACCGGAUAGGAGCUCCUGCUGCAUGGUGGGGGUUGGAAAGUUUCGGCGGUUGGGGAUGGACUCGCGGCUUAUCAGCUUGUUGGUGGGGUAGUGGCUUACCAAGGCUUUGACGGAUAGCCGGCCUGAGAGGGUGACCGGCCACAUGGGGACUGAGAGACGGCCCAGACUCCUACGUGAGGCAGCAGUGGGGAAUAUUGCACAAUGGGCGGAAGCCUGAUGCAGCAACGCCGCGUGCGGGAUGACGGCUUUCGGGUUGUAAACCGCUUUCGCCUGUGACGAAGCGUGAGUGACGGUAAUGGGUAAAGAAGCACCGGCUAACUACGUG
rnacentral:rRNA from 1 species